AGGGGCGUAGCUUAGCGGUAGAGCGUCGGUCUCCAAAACCGAAGGUCGCGGGUUCGAAUCCUGCCGCCCCUGCCA
rnacentral:tRNA from 1 species